AUCAUUCAAGGGGAUCGAAACCAGAUCUUCAAUUGGCCCGCCCCUUUCCUCAGCGAGGUUGUCGCGGGCAUCCAAUCCAUCAACCGGACAGAGGUCAGAUUGGUCACUUCUUUGCAAGGCUAUGUUGUAGCAGUGUCUAGCCAAGGCUUGAUCUCCCUUGACUUCUCCGACUCCCUGGUUAGUAGAAAAUUUCAAUUUCAGAUGGU
rnacentral:lncRNA from 1 species